CAGUGAUCUUGUAGAUUAAAAGAAAAUAAAGGAAAGGUAAAAAAUAUUUUUUAUAUCUUUGGGUUAAAAAAAAUUAGGAAUUUAUUACCAUAAAUUUUAAAAAAUAGAAAACAACUGUAUAUUAAGAAAUUAAAGAGAAUAAAAAUGCAAUUGGGGACUUGAGUAAUUGAUGAUAUCCCUAAAGCUCAUGACUUGUGGACCAAGAAGAUAUGAAUUUGUAAGAAAUAUUUCAGAAAGAAGGAGCAUUAAGCAGUGGGUUGUGUAAAAAAGAAACAUCCGUGUAUGUGUUGAUGAAUAUACUGGCCUGGCCAUAUUUGUGGUGUGUAUGUUAGAGAACAACUGCUGAUUCCACCUUGCAUGGGAUAGGUUAAAUCAGAUCAUGAAGAGUCUUAAAAAUUAGACAGAAAAUGUGCUCAUGGUAUUGUGGGCAAUAGGGUAUUAUAGCAGAUAAUUCAACAGGAAAAAUUGCAUUGCUUUUAUAAGAGUGAACCAAUAAUAAGUAGAAUGAAACAUUUUGAGAUGCAGCAUUCUGGAGAGCUAACCAAAUUUCACGUACAGAAAAGAUAAAGAAGGGUUGAUAGCAUGAGGAAAUAAUGGGCACAUACGAUGUCUCAAAAGGUUGUCGCUGCAAGAAAAAGCACAAAGCAGUGAAAAAGAGAAAAUUGAAAGCUCUUCUCUCCUUUCCCUUGAUUUGCUUAAACUGAAGGACUGUAAUGCAUUCACAGUAAAAAUGUAGGAGAACUUUGAACUUUUUAAGAGCCUGAGGGCAAUUUAAGAGAGAAUGGGAAGAAUUGGGGACUUGGUUUUCAGAGAAGGUGGGAAUGGGUGAGUAUAGAACACUGAUGGGACAAAAGAGAAGUGAGUUAAAAUGAGAAUAUAAAGUUAGUUAACAGUGCUCUCUAGGAGUCCAUUAAGUGGAAGCUCCUACUAUUAAUAAUUACCAAUUUUAACUAUAGCCCAGAGCAAUAGAAUAUCUUGAAUUGCUUUUAAAUCUUCAGUGAUUAAGUUGUGCUCAAAUUGGUUUUAGUGGCUAUGUACCCGUGUAUAGUAAUCCUAUAGAAAAAAAUCAUAUUUUCGUAUAUGAAAACUUUCAGGCAACCAGACUACAUGAAAAUAGAUAAUCAUUUUUCUAAUGAGAAUGGGUAAUAGAGCUUAUGUUAUC
rnacentral:lncRNA from 1 species